rnacentral:rRNA from 1 species
AGGGUUCGAUUCUGGCUCAGAGUGAACGCUGGCGGCGUGCUUAACACAUGCAAGUCGAACGGAUGAAAUAAGCUUGCUUAUUCGUUAGUGGCGCACGGGUGAGUAAUGUAUAGCUAACCUGCCCUUUAGUGGGGGACAACAGUUGGAAACGACUGCUAAUACCCCAUACUCCAGCCUAUCAAAAGGUAGGUUGGGAAAGAUUUAUUGCUAAAGGAUGGGGCUUUAUGGUAUCAGCUAGUUGGUGGGGGUAACGGCCUACCAAAGGCAAUGACGCCUACCUGGUCUGAGAGGAUGAUCAGGCACACUGGAACUGAGACACGGUCCAGACUCCUACGGGAGGCAGCAGUGGGGAAUAUUGCACAAUGGGGGAAACCCUGAAUGCAGCAACGCCGCGUGGAGGAUGACGCAUUUCGGUGUGUAAACUCCUUUUAUAAGGGAAGAUAAUGACGGUACCUUAUGAAUAAGCACCGGCUAACUCCGUGCCAGCCGCAGC